UACGGGGGGGGCAAGCGUUGUUCGGAAUUACUGGGCGUAAAGGGCUCGUAGGUGGCCAACUAAGUCAGACGUGAAAUCCCUCAGCUUAACUGGGGAACUGCAUCUGAUACUGGAUGGCUUGAGUUUGGGAGAGGGAUGCGGAAUUCCAGGUGUAGCGGUGAAAUGCGUAGAUAUCUGGAGGAACACCGGUGGCGAAGGCGGCAUCCUGGACCAACACUGACGCUGAGACCCGAAAGCGUGGGGAUCAAACAGG
rnacentral:rRNA from 1 species